UGCUAGGCUGGUGAUUAUAAUUAUUAUGGUGAAGCAAAGAUGCCAAGCAGAUCUUGACGUCAAACUCAUUGGCGUUGUCACCUGACGUUCGAAGUGCAAACAAAUUUAUAACUUUUAGCCGAGGCGUUUCAAAUCUUAUUCAAGAAUACUGCUGCAUCCGAAUUAGAAGUUGGACUAAUUGUUGUCUGGCAGGAGUCGUAACUCACCGUUCACGGCAAGACACCUUCACACUCGACAAGUGCACUCGUCCUAUUUACCACUCACUAUAUUCAAUGGUCAUCAAGUCCAGUGCCAAACUCCAGGAGCAUGCAAACUAUGGAACAAAAUGAGGCAAGAAUAGAGAAACUCUAACUAGAGUUGGAGCGGAAACAAUAUAGGGCCUUGGGGUGCCAAAUUUCUCAAUCCGGCCCUGUCAAUCUACUUGUUUGAGGGAACUGGUCUUGAAGAUUACAUUUGAAUUCCUCUUGAAAUCCAACCGUUUUGUAUCUACAACAAAAUAUGUACGAUUCUAAAACCUGUCUGGACGUAUGGAAUCCAGCUUUGGGGCUGCUCUAGAACUUCUA